rnacentral:rRNA from 1 species
UGGGGAAUAUUGCACAAUGGGGGAAACCCUGAUGCAGCGACGCCGCGUGAGUGGUGAAGGUUUUCGGAUCGUAAAGCUCUGUCCUAAGGGAAGAUAGUGACGGUACCUUAGGAGGAAGCCCCGGCUAACUACGUGCCAGCAGCCGCGGUAAUACGUAGGGGGCGAGCGUUAUCCGGAAUUAUUGGGCGUAAAGGGUACGUAGGCGGCUAAAUAAGUCAGGCGUGAAAGGCAUCGGCUCAACCGGUGUAAGCGCUUGAAACUGUUUGGCUUGAGUACAGGAGAGGAAAGUGGAAUUCCUAGUGUAGCGGUGAAAUGCGUAGAUAUUAGGAGGAACACCAGUGGCGAAGGCGACUUUCUGGACUGUAACUGACGCUGAGGUACGAAAGCGUGGGGAGCGAACA